rnacentral:rRNA from 1 species
CCCGAGGAUGGGACUGCGGCCUAUCAGGCUGUUGGUGGUGUAACGGACCACCAAACCUACGACGGGUACGGGCGAUGGGAGUCGGAGCCCGGAGAUGGGGACUGAGACAAGGCCCCAGGCCCUACGGGGCGCAGCAGGCGCGAAAACUCCGCAAUGCGUGCAAGCGUGACGGGGGGAUCCCAAGUGCCGUUGGUCUUUUGAUCGACGGCUUUUCGGAAGUCCAAGAAGCUUCCGGAAUAAGGGCUGGGUAAGACUGGUGCCAGCCGCCGCGGUAACACCAGCAGCCCAAGUGGUGGCCACGAUUAUUGGGCCUAAAGCGCUCGUAGCCGGGCUAGCAAGUCCCUUGUGAAAUCGGACCGCCUAACGGUUCGGCGUGCAGGGGGUACUGCUGGCCUUGAGGCCGGGAGAGGUCGGAGGUACUCCUGGGGUAGCGGUGAAAUGCUCUAAUCCUGGGGGGACCACCAGUGGCGAAGGCGUCCGACCAGAACGGUCCUGACGGUGAGGGGCGAAGGCUAGGGGAGCGAACGGGAUUAGAUACCCCGGUAGUCCUAGCUGUAAAGCAUGCGGGCCAGGUGUCUAGUGCUCCUCGAG